rnacentral:tRNA from 1 species
CAUUAGGUGGCUGAAAGUAAGCAAUGGAAUUUUAAACCAUACUAUAGUAAUUUACAUCUACUUCUAAUGA